rnacentral:rRNA from 1 species
GACGAACGCUGGCGGCGUGCUUAACACAUGCAAGUCGAACGGAAAGGCCCGCCACCUUGGUGGUGGGUACUCGAGUGGCGAACGGGUGAGUAACACGUGGGUGAUCUGCCCCGCACUGUGGGAUAAGCCUGGGAAACUGGGUCUAAUACCACAUACGACCAUGGCGUAGGGGUCAUGGUGGAAAGCUUUUGCGGUGUGGGAUGAGCCCGCGGCCUAUCAGCUUGUUGGUGGGGUAAUGGCCUACCAAGGCGGCGACGGGUAGCCGGCCUGAGAGGGUGGACGGCCACAUUGGGACUGAGACACGGCCCAGACUCCUACGGGAGGCAGCAGUGGGGAAUAUUGCACAAUGGGCGCAAGCCUGAUGCAGCGACGCCGCGUGGGGGAUGGAAGGCCUUCGGGUUGUAAACUCCUUUCGCCCGGGACGAAGCCCACCUGGUGGGCGACGUACCGGAGAAG